rnacentral:snRNA from 1 species
GGAUGUGAGGGCAAUCUGGCUGCGACAUCUGUCACUCCAUUGAUCUCCAGGGUUGAUUCUGCUGAUCUGACUGGCUAGGCGGGUGUGCCCUUCCUCCCUCACCACUCUUUGUGUGUCCCUCCCUAAGCUGCAUGCUUGGUCAAGGAGGAUGACAUUCCCCUAUAGGGAGGAUUGUUCUUUGGCCAAGAGUAUACCAAUAGCUGUGUUCCACUGCUAGAACCUCCAAACAAGCUCUCAAAACAAACAUUCAUGAAUGAAGCUUAUACCCAUCAUUGAUGGAAAUAUGGCACUUUCACACUGGUUGUAAAG